UUCUGUUACUCCAGUUUAUAUAUUAUUGCCGUAUUUUUCGCGAGAGUUUAUUCGAAACUAUUUAAUAAACGUAAGUGCAACGGGUGAAGAAUUCAUGAAGGAAGGAUGGAUGAACCGCGGGAUCAACACGGCGAGGCGACGCCGAUGGUUUCGAGGAGCCGCUGGAAAAUUGCCUGGAGUGUUAAGCAGGCGGAACGCCUGAAUGAGUUAUUAAUCAACCAUCAACAAAUCACACAGCAAUUGCUUAAAUGUCAAAUCAUUUAAUUGAAUGGUUUAUAUCAGCCGGAGUGCGGGCGAAUAAAAUUUCCACCGAAUUAGAACAUGCACGAGAGGCCCUAAGAAAUGGAAAACAUCUUACUAACCGAGAAAUCAGGAUUCAGAUUGAACCACGCGAUAACGUGGAUGCUCGCAUUUCCCCUGAUAAAAUGGAUAGAGGUUACGAUACAUUUUCAUGUUGAGAAGUUUGCCAACGCCGAACCGCACGUUGUUUGAUGCCGAUAUGAAAUGAAGGGAUCAAUAUCAAAAGCCACCUGUGCCGGUUCUUGCACGUCUGAUAGUGACGUCAGGGAGUACAAUGAUGAAGCCAGCCAGAUCAAACAGUAUUUGGAAUUGCUGUUUGAAAUUCAAGAGGACAAGUACAAUUACGAUAACUAUGUGAAAUUUCUGGUUCAUGCUUAUUAAAUGUCCGGCCUGGAUAAAACUCGGCUAAAUUGCGGCAAUCGGACUCAAUCUGGGAUACGUUAUUCAGCGUACGAGUUGCAUACCAACAAGGGUCGUGCCAUUUAGAACACCUUUUGCGAGGAUUAUUUGAUGAAAACUAAAAAAUUUUAAUGCGUUCAAAAAGAUUGGUGCAAAUGGUUCAGCAGGUGGUCGAAAUUCUUUCGAAGAAUAUGGAGAAUUCGUACAAUGAAUACAAACUGCUUGGCGAAAAGCACGAAGAUGUCGCGAGUGUCGUUCCGUGACUUAAGGUUAUAAAGGAAGUUGCGACGGUGAAAUCUCCGGCUCCGGAACUGGCUGUGAAGGUAUGGCUGGAACAUUUAACGUACCUGCGUAGACAUGCUUCCUUGCCUUAUGAGUAGGAAAAAAAAACAGCCCAAUACAGUGAAGUGUUUAUAUUUCAUUUAAAUUAUAUCGCUGACUCGUUAAUAAAUAAUGGUAUAAUUAUUAUUUUUAA